rnacentral:rRNA from 1 species
UACGUAGGGAGCAAGCGUUGUCCGGAAUCAUUGGGCGUAAAACGCGCGUAGGCGGCCCCGUAAGUCCGCUGUGAAAGUCAAAGGCUCAACCUUUGAAAGCCGGUGGAUACUGUGGGGCUAGAGUCCGGAAGAGGCGAGUGGAAUUCCUGGUGUAGCGGUGGAAUGCGCAGAUAUCAGGAGGAACACCUAUAGCGAAGGCAGCUUGCUGGGACGACACUGACGCUGAGGCGCGAAAGCGUGGGGAGCGAACAGG